UACGUAGGGUGCGAGCGUUAAUCGGAAUUACUGGGCGUAAAGCGUGCGCAGGCGGUUUUGUAAGCCAGAUGUGAAAGCCCCGGGCUUAACCUGGGAAUGGCAUUUGGGACUGCAAGGCUUGAGUGCGGCAGAGGAGACUGGAAUUCCUGGUGUAGCAGUGAAAUGCGUAGAUAUCAGGAGGAACACCAAUGGCGAAGGCAGCUCGCUGGAACGGUACUGACGCUGAGGCGCGAAAGCGUGGGGAGCGAACAGG
rnacentral:rRNA from 1 species